rnacentral:rRNA from 1 species
AAAAGUUACAAAGAGCAAACGGUGGAUGCCUAGGCUUUUGGAGGCGAUGAAGGACGUGGUAAGCUGCGAAAAGCUUCGGGUAGGUGCUAAACAACCUUUGAUCCGAAGAUAUCCGAAUGGGACAACCCAUCAUAUUUUUAUGAUAUUCUCCGUAAGGAGAAGGCUAACCCGGAGAACUGAAACAUCUAAGUACCCGGAGGAAAAUAAAACAACAGUGAUUCCCUAAGUAGAGGCGAUCGAACGGGGAUUAGCCCAAACCGCAAUUGUUUCGGCAUUUGCGGGGUUGUAGGGUAUCUAUAAUUUAUGAUUCUAAAGAAGUGGAACUUAAUUGGAAAGUUAGACAAUAUAGGGUGAUAGUCCCGUACACGUGUUUUAGAAUUAUGAAGAGGUAUUCCUGAGUAGGACGGGGCACGAGAAACCCUGUUUGAAUCCGCGAGGACCAUCUCGCAAGGCUAAAUACUCCCAAAAGACCGAUAGUGAACCAGUACCGUGAGGGAAAGGUGAAAAGUACCCCUAUAAGGGGAGUGAAAUAGUACCUGAAACCGUUUGCUUACAAGCGGUCGGAGCCAUUUCGUAUGGUGACGGCGUGCCUUUUGCAUAAUGAGCCUACGAGUUACUUUAUAUAGCGAGGUUAAGUUACUCAGUAACGUAUCCGAAGCGAAAGCGAGUUUUAAUAGAGCGAUUUAGUUAUAUGGAGUAGACGCGAAACCAAGUGAUCUACCCAUGGUCAGGAUGAAGCUGUGGUGAAACACAGUGGAGGUCCGAACCGGUUGACGUUGAAAAGUCUUCGGAUGAACUGUGGGUAGGGGUGAAAGGCCAAUCAAACUUGGAGAUAUCUCGUACUCCCCGAAAUGCCUUUAGGGGCAGCCUCAGAGUUAUUGUUAUAGAGGUAGAGCUACCGAUUGGGUGCGAGGGUUUCACCGCCUAUCAAUCCCUGACGAACUCCGAAUGCUAUAACAUUUAUCUGGGAGUGAGGCUAUGGGUGCUAAGGUCCAUAGCCUAAAGGGAAACAACCCGGACCACCAGCUAAGGUCCCUAAAUGCUAUCUAAGUUGUUCUAACGCGGUCUGUUUGCAUAGACAGGUAGGAUGUUGGCUUGGAAGCAGCCAUUCAUUUAAAGAGUGCGUAACAGCUCACUAUUCGAGCGAACAGGCAUGGAUGAUAAUCGGGCAUAAAGUUAGCUACCGAAGCUGUGGGAUUACAAUGUAAUCGGUAGGGGAGCAUUCCAGCGACGUAGAAUCAGUUUGGCGAUGAACUGUGGAGUUUCUGGAAAAGCAAAUGUAGGCAUAAGUAACGAUAAUCACGGCGAGAAACCGUGACGCCGAUACUGUUCAAGGUUUCCUGAAUCUAUGCUAAUCAUAGCAGGGUUAGUCGGGUCCUAAGCAAAACCCGAAUGGGGUAUGCGAUGGCAAAUCGGUUAAUAUUCCGAUACUUUAUUAUAGAGUGAUGGUGCGACGAAGGAGUGACAAGCUCGCGAACUGACGGAAUAGUUCGUUGAAGGGAGUAGAUAUACGUUUUGUAGGCAAAUCCGCAGAAUGUGUCGAACCUGAUAGUACUAAGCGCUAUUCAUAGCAAUUAGAUAGUAGCUGUAAACAUACUUCCAAGAAAAACAUCUAAGCUUAUCUAUAAUAAACCCGUACCGUAAACCGACACAGGUGAAGAGGUAGAGAAUACUGAGGCGCUCGAGUGAAUCGUGGCUAAGGAACUAGGCAAAUUGACCCCGUAACUUCGGGAUAAGGGGUGCUCCUUCGGGAGCCGCAGAGAAAUGGCCCGGGCGACUGUUUAGCAAAAACACAGGGCUUUGCAAAACCGCGAGGUGCGGUAUAAGGCCUGACGCCUGCCCAGUGCCGGAAGGUUAAGGGGGGAUGUAAUCUUCGGAGAAGCAUUGAACUGAAGCCCUGGUAAACGGCGGCCGUAACUAUAACGGUCCAAAGGUAGCGAAAUUCCUUGUCGGGUAAGUUCCGACCUGCACAAAUGGCGUAACGAUCUGGGCACUGUC